UACGUAGGUGGCGAGCGUUGUCCGGAUUUACUGGGCGUAAAGAGCGCGCAGGCGGUCGUUCAAGUCGCGUGUGAAAGCCCCCGGCUCAACUGGGGAGGGUCACGCGAUACUGAUCGACUCGAAGGCAGGAGAGGGUAGUGGAAUUCCUAGUGUAGCGGUGAAAUGCGCAGAUAUUAGGAAGAACACCGGUGGCGAAGGCGGCUCUCUGGAACGGUACUGACGCUGAGACGCGAAAGCGUGGGGAGCGAACAGG
rnacentral:rRNA from 1 species